AGUGAACGCUGGCGGUAGGCCUAACACAUGCAAGUCGAACGGCAGCACAGUAGGAGCUUGCUCUUACGGGUGGCGAGUGGCGGACGGGUGAGGAAUACAUCGGAAUCUACUUUUUCGUGGGGGAUAACGUAGGGAAACUUACGCUAAUACCGCAUACGACCUACGGGUGAAAGCAGGGGAUCUUCGGACCUUGCGCGAUUGAAUGAGCCGAUGUCGGAUUAGCUAGUUGGCGGGGUAAAGGCCCACCAAGGCGACGAUCCGUAGCUGGUCUGAGAGGAUGAGCAGCCACACUGGAACUGAGACACGGUCCAGACGCCUACGGGAGGCAGCAGUGGGGAAUAGUGGAAAAUGGGCGCAAGCCUGAUCCAGCCAUACCGCGUGGGUGAAGAAGGCCUUCGGGUUGUAAAGCCCUUUUGUUGGGAAAGAAAAGCAGCAGGUUAAUACCCCGCUGUUCUGACGGUACCCAAAGAAUAAGCACCGGCUAACUUCGUG
rnacentral:rRNA from 1 species